CAAUAAAGGAAGCAUGGUAAUGUGCACAUAAAUUGAAUUGGGUCUCUAGGCCUGCCUUCUCUAAUACCAUUUGGCUUUCAUUUGGGGGCAUGGUUCGGUAGCAAAACA